UCCUGAGUGGCUCAGUGGUAAAGAAUCUGCCUGCCAUUGCAGGAGUCUUGGGUUCGAUCCCUAGGUCAGGAA
rnacentral:tRNA from 1 species